rnacentral:rRNA from 1 species
ACUCCUACGGGAGGCAGCAGUAGGGAAUCUGCCGCAAUGGACGAUAGUCUGACGGAGCAACGCCGCGUGAGUGAUGAUGGCUUACGGGUCGUAAAAAUAUCUAGUUAGGGCAGAACAAGUGCUAGUUGAAUACGGUGGCACCUUUACCGUACCUAACCAGAAAGCCACGGCUAACUACGUGCCAGCAGCCGCGGUAAU